ACAGAGGGUGCAAGCGUUAAUCGGAAUUACUGGGCGUAAAGCGCACGUAGGCGGCUUGGUAAGUUGGGUGUGAAAUCCCCGAGCUUAACUUGGGAAUUGCAUUCAAGACUGCCUUGCUAGAGUGUGGGAGAGGGAAGCGGAAUUCCAGGUGUGGCGGUGAAAUGCGUAGAGAUCGGGAGGAACAUCCGUGGCGAAGGCGACUACCUGGACCAGCACUGACACUGAGGCACGAAAGCGUGGGGAGCAAACAGGA
rnacentral:rRNA from 1 species